GGCCGCGUGGCCUAAUGGCUAAGGCGCUAGAUUUCGGCUCCCAUCAUCACUGAACUCUCUAGAGAUUCCAGGUUCGACUCCUGGCGUGGUCG